AAGUCGUAACAAGGUUUCCGUAGGUGAACCUGCGGAAGGAUCAUUAUUGAAUUAGCGAGGGCUGUCUGCUGGCCCCUUCGGGGGCAUGUGCACGCCCGAGCCGUUUAAAUCAACACCUGUGAACUCACCGUAGGCCUUCGGGCUUAUGUAUCAUAAUAUACUCAGAUCAUAGAAUGUAUGUUUUGCCUUUAAAAAAGCAAUCAAAUACAACUUUCAACAACGGAUCUCUUGGCUCUC
rnacentral:misc_RNA from 1 species